rnacentral:tRNA from 1 species
CAGGAAGUAGUUUAAGUAGAAUAUCAGCUUUGGGUGUUGAUGGUGGGGCUUACAGCCUUCUUCUUGA